GCGAAGUUGGCGCAGUCGGCAGCGCGUAAGUCUCAUAAUCUUAAGGUCGUGAGUUCGAACCUCACACUUCGCA
rfam:Piromyces finnis strain finn BCR36scaffold_32, whole genome shotgun sequence.